AGAGUUUGAUCAUGGCUCAGGACGAACGCUGGCGGCGUGCUUAACACAUGCAAGUCGAACGCGCCUGCCUUUGGGUGGGUGAGUGGCGAACGGGUGAGUAACACGUGGGUGACCUGCCCUUCACUCUGGGAUAAGCUUGGGAAACUGGGUCUAAUACCGGAUAUGACACUGUCUCGCAUGGGGUGGUGUGGAAAGCUUUUGUGGUGGGGGAUGGGCCCGCGGCCUAUCAGCUUGUUGGUGGGGUGAUGGCCUACCAAGGCUUCGACGGGUAGCCGGCCUGAGAGGGCGUCCGGCCACACUGGGACUGAGACACGGCCCAGACUCCUACGGGAGGCAGCAGUGGGGAAUAUUGCGCAAUGGGCGGAAGCCUGACGCAGCGACGCCGCGUGGGGGAUGACGGCCUUCGGGUUGUAAACCUCUUUCGACCUCGACGAAGCGUUUCGGCGUGACGGUAGGGGUGGAAGAAGCACCGGCCAACUACGUGCCAGCAGCCGCGGUAAUACGUAGGGUGCGAGCGUUGUCCGGAAUUAUUGGGCGUAAAGAGCUCGUAGGCGGUGUGUCACGUCGGCCGUGAAAACCUGCAGCUUAACUGUGGGCGUGCGGUCGAUACGGGCAUCACUGGAGUUCGGCAGGGGAGACUGGAAUUCCUGGUGUAGCGGUGAAAUGCGCAGAUAUCAGGAGGAACACCGGUGGCGAAGGCGGGUCUCUGGGCCGAUACUGACGCUGAGGAGCGAAAGCGUGGGGAGCGAACAGGAUUAGAUACCCUAGUAGUCC
rnacentral:rRNA from 1 species